rnacentral:tRNA from 1 species
GGAGAGGUGCGAGAGUCCGGUUUAAUCGGCACGCCUGGAGAGCGUGUGACCCCUAAAGGGUCCGUGGGUUCGAAUCCCACCCUCUCCG